UUACAUCUAACACAAUUUCCCAACUCAUAUGGAAACAGGGUUUGUACAAGUAAGUAAGACUAGAUGUUUUGGGGGGAUCUUACGGGGUUCACUGUGGCAUUUGCUACGCCAACUCGCGUGCGGGGUUGUUUGUCACGUGCAUUUUUGCUUGCAACCUAAAGCAUAACAAUUAGCGCUUCUCUGAAGACACUUUUAAGUCGAGGUACCAACUGUCGGACUAUUUCUUGACACGUUAACUGCACUGAGGUCAAAUCCAUUGCAUAACUGUGACACAGCAGGCUGGAUCUCUGCUGAAUUAGGUCAAUGACUUUCACUGCAUGAGUUCUAUGUUUCAUUCAUUGAAACCUGUGUGUAAAAAUCUAUUUUCACUUUGACAUGAAUUUUUCAGAAAAACAAAAUUAAAUCGACUAUGAUGACAUUUAUGAAUGGAAUAUAAAGCUGACACACACUGUAUAAACAUUGACACUGCCCUAUUCAUUUGUCUUGUUGUGCUUAUAACAUGCAUUGUGCGUUUGCAGAGAGUCUGACUCACUGUGUUGUCCAGAUCUGUUUGCACCACUGCGGCGUAAUCUCCUCUAAGUUCUGCAAGCGCCCUUUGGCUGCCGCAGCCCAGGGCCAGAGGUAGAAGCAGCAGACUGAUGCAGAGAAGAGGCUGCAAGGAGAACGGUCAGUGGUUCUUAACCUGGGUUCGAUGGAACCCUAGGGGUUCGGCGUAGGUCAAGACACACCCGACUCAUCGUGUAAAUACAAACUUCUCCCUAUCGGCGUAUAACGGAUACGGCAACAGCAGAAGUCAGACUGAUUUGCAGACGGGAAGUUCCGACUGAUCGCAGCUCAGAGGACCAAGUCGGUCGCACAUGGAGGACGGAAGCAAUUCAGGAAUGGCCACGGAAUGUUCCAGUUCGAAUCCCGGCUUGAAAAUCGACGUUGCACCACGGCUCUGCUGCAUGAAGGAAUAAUUCUGACCCCCAAAAUGGAAGAGGAUUUAUCCAAGCUCAAAAAGGUCUCCAAACUGGACUUGAGAAGGAUAGCCUCUUUUUUUUUUUUUUUUUUUUUUUUUUUAU